ACACGCGCGGGAGGCGUCGACGCGCGGUCGCCUCAACCCUGGUCGCCUUCGACCGCGCCGAGCCACUGGCGAGCCCGGCCCGUCCCAAG
rnacentral:ncRNA from 1 species